UCUAGGUCGGGGACAACCACUGGAAACGGUGGCUAAUACCGGAUGUGCCGAAAGGUGAAAGAUUUAUUGCCUAGAGAUGAGCUCGCGUCUGAUUAGCUAGUUGGUGUGGUAAGAGCGCACCAAGGCGACGAUCAGUAGCUGGUCUGAGAGGAUGAUCAGCCACACUGGGACUGAGACACGGCCCAGACUCCUACGGGAGGCAGCAGUGGGGAAUUUUCCGCAAUGGGCGAAAGCCUGACGGAGCAAUACCGCGUGAGGGAGGAAGGCUCUUGGGUUGUAAACCUCUUUUCUCAGGGAAUAAGAAAGUGAAGGUACCUGAGGAAUAAGCAUCGGCUAACUCCGUGCCAGCAGCCGCGGUAAUACGGAGGAUGCAAGCGUUAUCCGGAAUGAUUGGGCGUAAAGCGUCCGCAGGUGGCACUGUAAGUCUGCUGUUAAAGAGCAAGGCUCAACCUUGUAAAGGCAGUGGAAACUACAGAGCUAGAGUACGUUCGGGGCAGAGGGAAUUCCUGGUGUAGCGGUGAAAUGCGUAGAGAUCAGGAAGAACACCGGUGGCGAAAGCGCUCUGCUAGGCCGUAACUGACACUGAGGGACGAAAGC
rnacentral:rRNA from 1 species